UGUACCAGGAGACCAUGCAGCAUUUGC
rnacentral:piRNA from 1 species